rnacentral:rRNA from 1 species
UACGAAGGGGGCUAGCGUUGUUCGGAAUCACUGGGCGUAAAGCGCACGUAGGCGGAUGUGUCAGUCAGGGGUGAAAUCCCGGGGCUCAACCUCGGAACUGCCUCUGAUACAGCACAUCUUGAGUCCGGAAGAGGUGGGUGGAACUGCGAGUGUAGAGGUGAAAUUCGUAGAUAUUCGCAAGAACACCAGUGGCGAAGGCGGCUCACUGGCCCGGUACUGACGCUGAGGUGCGAAAGCGUGGGGAGCAAACAGG